UAGAGAUUCUAUUGUGCCCUGGAAAAUA
rnacentral:sRNA from 1 species